rnacentral:rRNA from 1 species
AAUACCGGAUGUUGUGCGACGAUGGCAUCAGAAUUGCACGAAAGAUUCAUCGGCGAUGGGAUGGGGAUGCGUCUGAUUAGCUUGUUGGCGGGGUAACGGCCCACCAAGGCGACGAUCAGUAGGGGUUCUGAGAGGAAGGUCCCCCACACUGGUACUGAGACACGGACCAGACUCCUACGGGAGGCAGCAGUGAGGAAUAUUGGUCAAUGGACGCGAGUCUGAACCAGCCAAGUAGCGUGCAGGACGACGGCCCUACGGGUUGUAAACUGCUUUUAUGAGGGGAUAAAGUCGGCCACGAGUGGCCGUUUGCAGGUACCUCAUGAAUAAGGACCGGCUAAUUCCGUGCC